AUUGAACGCUGGCGGAAUGCUUUACACAUGCAAGUCGAACGGCAGCACGGACUUCGGUCUGGUGGCGAGUGGCGAACGGGUAAGUAAUGUAUCGGAACGUGCCCAGUCGUGGGGGAUAACGUAGUGAAAAUUACGCUAAUACCGCAUACGAUCUAUGGAUGAAAGCGGGGGAUCGCAAGACCUCGCGCGAAUGGAGCGGCCGAUAUCAGAUUAGGUAGUUGGUGGGGUAAAGGCCCACCAAGCCAACGAUCUGUAGCUGGUCUGAGAGGACGACCAGCCACACUGGAACUGAGACACGGUCCAGACUCCUACGGGAGGCAGCAGUGGGGAAUUUUGGACAAUGGGCGAAAGCCUGAUCCAGCCAUUCCGCGUGCAGGAUGAAGGCCCUCGGGCUGUAAACUGCUUUUGUACAGAACGAAAAGGUUUCUACUAAUACUAGGAGCUCAUGACGGUACUGUAAGAAUAAGCACCGGCUAACUACGUGCCAGCCGCCGCUGUAA
rnacentral:rRNA from 1 species